rnacentral:rRNA from 1 species
CAAAAGCGUAUAUUAAAGUUGUUGCAGUUAAAAAGCUCGUAGUUGAACCUUGGGCUUGGCUGGCCGGUCCAUCUUUUUUGAUGCGUACUGGACCCAGCCGAGCCUUUCCUUCUGGCUAGCCUUUUGGCGAACCAGGACUUUUACUUUGAAAAAACUAGAGUGUUCAAAGCAGGCCUUUGCUCGAAUAUAUUAGCAUGGAAUAAUAGAAUAGGACGUUAUGGUUCUAUUUUGUUGGUUUCUAGGACCAUCGUAAUGAUUAAUAGGGACGGUCGGGGGUAUCAGUAUUCAGUUGUCAGAGGUGAAAUUCUUGGAUUUACUGAAGACUAACUACUGCGAAAGCAUUUACCAAGGACGUUUUCAUUAA